rnacentral:misc_RNA from 1 species
GUUGUAUGAGAAUUAUUUUGUUUUCGUUUGUGACCAUGGACUGAUCACUACACAAAUAAUUAAUUUCAGCUUUGAUGCUGUUAUAGCAUGGAAUAAUUCCAAACAAGAAACUUAUUGAUGUCACGUUUAUAAGCAUUAACUGGCACAACAGUCAUUAGAUUCAGCAAUAUUUUUGUACAGUAAAAAUUGCAGAAGGGAAUAAGAUACUGCUGCAUUAACUUCCUACAAAAGCAGCUUUAAUGAAGGAAAGUCGAGAAGGAGACACAGUUGCUGUUCAUAGCCUUUGAAACUCAAGAUUUAGCAGGAAAGGAACCAUAAGAAAGUUACACUAGAUCUAUUUGAAAAGUGAAGAACUUUUCGAAAGCAAGGAGAUUGAACCAAUGAACAAAUAGAGAAUACAUUUUAAAGAAGAAGGUGGGCAGAAGCUACAGUUGCUUCAGAUGGACACAUACAGUUUGAAGUUGAUCUAAAAGACACUUAGCCACAAUCAAGUGUCUUAUUGAAUGUCAAAUCAAGUUUGUGUACUAAAUCAUUCUUGUACAAUGUGUAAAUAUCAUUUCUAUUCUAUGCAAGAGCAAAUGUAACGGUUUGCUUACUGUGUGGUUGCAAAGUUCUCAACAUUUGUGUUUUAUUCAGCUGUAACCAAAAGUGACCAUUUAUUCAUUUUUGUUUAUUACAUUCAAAGCUGCAUUGUUACUAAUAAAGCAUCUUUUACACAA